rnacentral:rRNA from 1 species
AGUAAAAGUCGUAACAAGGUCUCCGUUGGUGAACCAGCGGAGGGAUCAUUAUCGAGAGAGUUACAAAACUCCCUAUAAAACCCUUUGCGAACCUCACCCGUCUGCCGUAGUGUCUCCGGCAGGUGGCCCCCCUAGAAGGAGGCGCCUGCCGGGGGGCUCGACCUAAACUCUUUUAUGGCGUCUCUGCCACUGCUGUCUGAGUCGUUAUAAAAUCAAAUUAAAACUUUCAACAACGGAUCUCUUGGUUCUGGCAUCGAUGAAGAACGUAGCGAACUACGAUAAGUAAUGUGAAUUGCAGAAUUCAGUGAAUCAUCGAAUCUUUGAACGCACAUUGCGCCCACCAGCAUUCUGGUGGGCAUGCCUGUUCGAGCGUCAUUUACCAUCCCUCGAGUGCUGCCAUGUGGGCUCGGUGUUGGGGAUCCUCCGGCGGGGGCCUUUUUCGCCCCCUCCGUAGGCCCUCAAGGUCAGUGGCGGGCUCGCCAGCACUCCGGGCGUAGUAGCUUUUUAAUACGCCGCCUAGGGGGGCCGUCUGGCGGGCGACCGGCUGUAAAAAACGCGACUCUGCCGGGUCGCAUACCCAAGGUUGACCUCGGAUCAGGUAAGAAUACCCGCUGAACUUAAGCAUAUCAAUAAGCGGAGGA